UGUCUUGUUGUGCUUUUUCUUUGUCCUG
rnacentral:sRNA from 1 species